UGGGGAAUAUUGCACAAUGGGCGCAAGCCUGAUGCAGCAACGCCGCGUGAACGAUGAAGGUCUUCGGAUCGUAAAGUUCUGUUGCAGGGGAAGAUAAUGACGGUACCCUGUGAGGAAGCCCCGGCUAACUACGUACCAGCAGCCGCGGUAAUACGUAGGGGGCUAGCGUUAUCCGGAUUUACUGGGCGUAAAGGGUGCGUAGGUGGUCUUUCAAGUCGGUGGUUAAAGGCUACGGCUCAACCGUAGUUAGCCUCCGAAACUGGAAGACUUGAGUGCAGGAGAGGAAAGUGGAAUUCCCAGUGUAGCGGUGAAAUGCGUAGAUAUUGGGAGGAACACCAGUAGCGAAGGCGGCUUUCUGGACUGCAACUGACACUGAAGCACGAUAGCGUGGGUAGCAAACAGG
rnacentral:rRNA from 1 species